AUCAAAAUAGCUUAAUAAAAGUAUUGUAUUGAAGUUACAGAGUUGAAUAUAUUUUCUUUUGGUA
rnacentral:tRNA from 1 species